rnacentral:rRNA from 1 species
UACCGGAUGUGUUUGUCUUUCCGCAUGGGAGCGACAAAUAAAGAUUGAUUGGUAAAGGAUGGGGAUGCGUCCCAUUAGCUUGUUGGCGGGGUAACGGCCCACCAAGGCGACGAUGGGUAGGGGUUCUGAGAGGAAGGUCCCCCACAUUGGAACUGAGACACGGUCCAAACUCCUACGGGAGGCAGCAGUGAGGAAUAUUGGUCAAUGGGCGGGAGCCUGAACCAGCCAAGUAGCGUGAAGGAUGACGGCCCUACGGGUUGUAAACUUCUUUUAUAAGGGAAUAAAGUUCGCCACGUGUGGUGUUUUGUAUGUACCUUAUGAAUAAGCAUCGGCUAAUUCCGUGCCAGCAGCCGCGGUAAUACGGAAGAUGCGAGCGUUAUCCGGAUUUAUUGGGUUUAAAGGGAGCGUAGGCGGGCUUUUAAGUCAGCGGUCAAAUGCCAUGGCUCAACCGUGUCAAGCCGUUGAAACUGCAAGCCUUGAGUCUGCACAGGGCACAUGGAAUUCGUGGUGUAGCGGUGAAAUGCUUAGAUAUCACGAAGAACUCCGAUCGCGAAGGCAUUGUGCCGGGGCAUAACUGACGCUGAGGCUCGAAAGUGCGGGUAUCAAACAGGAUUAGAUACCCUGGUAGUCCGCACGGUAAACGAUGAAUGCUCGCUAUGGGCGAUAUAUUGUCCGUGGCCAAGCGAAAGCGUUAAGCAUUCCACCU